AAAUUAUUAAUAAUUAUAUUUUUUUAUUUAAUAUUUUUGAAAUAAAUAUAUGUUUAUUUUAGUAUUGUUAAAAAACUAAUUUUUAUUAAUUAUAAUUAUUUACUGUGAAGGAUUUUAUUUAUUUGUUUAUAAGAAAUUUUAAUUUAAUGUACCUUUUGUAUCAGGGUUUUUUAAAUAAAAAUUAUUUAAAAUAAUUUUCUCGAAUUUUAAAGAGUUAUAUUAAUAUGAUAUUAUACAUAAUAAAUUGUUUAUGAAUAUUAAUAUAGUUGUUAUAUGCUAUUCAUUUUAAAUAUAUCUAGUUUCUUUUUAAAUAAAUUUAAUUUAUAAUUUAUUUGAUAAUAUAUAAGUUGAUUUAUAUAUUUAAAUGAAUUAAAAUAUUAAAGGGAUAAGCUUUUAAUAUUUUUUAUAAUUUUGUUAAAGAUUAAUUAAUAGUUAUUUUAGGAUUAAUAUUUUCCAUUUUUAUAUUUUUAUAAAUAUAUCUAUUAUUUUUUUUGAUUUUUUUUAAUUUAAAAUUUUAGAAAGAAGUUUUGUUUAAUAAUUUUAUAAAAGUUAUAAUGAAAAAAUUAGUAAAUUUAAAAAUUUAAUUUAAGAAUUCGGCAAUAUUAAUUCUCGAAUGUUUAAUAAAAACAUUUCUUUUAGUAAAAAAUUUAAAGUAUAACCUGCUCAAUGAGAUUAUUAAAUAGCCGCGAUAUUUUAUCGUGCGAAGGUAGCAUAAUCACUUGUCUCUUAAUUGGAGUCUAGAAUGAAAGGUUGAACGAAGAAUUAACUUUUUUAAUUAAAUUUUUUUUAAUUUUAUUUUUUAGUUAAAAAGCUAAAAUAAAUUUAUGGGACGAUAAGACCCUAUAGAAUUUUAUUUAUAUAUAUAUAUAAAUAAGUUAGUUUUUAUAAUUUAUAUAUGUAUAUAAAUUAGGUUGGGGCGAUUAUUAUAAAUUAAUAACUAUAAUUUGAUAUUUAUCAUUAAUUAAUGAAUUACUGAUCCUAAUAUUUAGAUUAAAAGAACAAAUUACCUUAGGGAUAACAGCGUAAUAUUCUUGGGAAGUACAUAUAUAUAAGAAUGAUUGCGACCUCGAUGUUGGAUUAAAAUUAAGUUAUGGUGCAGAAGCUAUAAAUUUAAGUCUGUUCGACUUUUAAAAUUUUACAUGAUCUGAGUUAAGACCGGCGUGAGCCAGGUUGGUUUCUAUCUAUAAUUGGUUAUAGUAUUUUAGUACGAAAGGACCAAAUACUACAAAAAUUUUGUA
rnacentral:rRNA from 1 species